rnacentral:rRNA from 1 species
CCCUAUGGGGCGCGACCCUUACAGUCCGACGUCCUUCUCCACAUUCAAGCAUCUUCAAUUCUCACGCAAGCCGCUCCCCAGACGUUGACAGCCUCAUCGUCAAUCGAUGGAAACCAAGCCCGAGGCGUAAUUUCGCGGGAUGCGCAAUGUUACUCGUUCAGGAUUCAAUCCGGGUGCACUGGUGUGAGUCGUUCAGGCUUGCAUCUCGCAAAAAGCCGCGGAUGCAAUCCUGAACCUGUGUAACGAAUUGUUGCGGGCAAAGUGCGCCCGUCUCGAAUUCGGUCAAAAGUCAGUCCUUCCCCGACUCCUCGUGACUCUAUGCGUUUGAUCUGCGAAUCCUGGAGCACUCCUCAGGCCACGAAAUGGUGAACACAGGAUUGGCGGGGGAGC